rnacentral:rRNA from 1 species
AUUGAACGCUGGCGGCAUGCCUAACACAUGCAAGUCGAACGGUAACAGGUCUUCGGAUGCUGACGAGUGGCGAACGGGUGAGUAACACAUCGGAACGUGCCUAGUAGUGGGGGAUAACUACUCGACAGAGUGGCUAAUACCGAAUGAGGUCUACGGAUGAAAGCAGGGGAUCGCAAGACCUUGUGCUACUAGAGCGGCCGAUGGCGGAUUAGGUAGUUGGUGGGGUAAAAGCUUACCAAGCCGACGAUCUGUAGUUGGUCUGAGAGGACGAUCAGCAACACUAGGACUGAGAAACGUCCCAGACUGCUACGGGAGGCAGUAGUGGGGAAUGUUGGACAAUGGGCGCAAGCCUGAUCCAGCAAUGCCGCGUGCACGACGAAGGCGUUCGGGUUGUAAACUACUUUUGUACGGAACGAAAAGCCCUGGGUUAAUACCCUGGGGUCAUGACGGUACCGGAAGAAUAAGCACCGGCUAACAUCGUGCCAGCCGCAGCCGUAAUAC